UACGUAGGGUGCGAGCGUUGUCCGGAAUUACUGGGCGUAAAGAGCUCGUAGGUGGUUUGUCGCGUUGUUCGUGAAAACCGGGGCUUAACCCUCGGCGUGCGGGCGAUACGGGCAGACUGGAGUACUGCAGGGGAGACUGGAAUUCCUGGUGUAGCGGUGGAAUGCGCAGAUAUCAGGAGGAACACCGGUGGCGAAGGCGGGUCUCUGGGCCGAUACUGACGCUGGAGAGACGAAAGCUAGGGGAGCGAAUGGG
rnacentral:rRNA from 1 species